rnacentral:lncRNA from 1 species
GCAUAACAUCCGUUCCAAUUUUUUUCCAAGUAUAGAGUUCCUUAUUGUUUCCAGCUCAUUAACUUUCCUCUGUCUCUCCCAGAACAACACAUCUCACUACUGUUUUGCAUAUGGGAGGCGUAAACAAAACCAUGACAUUUUAAGGCAUGAUCCCAUGGGGCCUUCAAGAGGUUUAUAUUUCACUAGAAACUCUGAGAAUCUUUUGCCCAGCUAAAAAGAACAUCUGUUUCCUCUUAGCAACUUUAAAUACACUUUGAUCCUGAUGUCUUUCAAUAUCACCCACACAAUGUAUUUGAGGUUUUCCUGAGUAAAAUGGGAGAACAGAGUGACAUUUGAGUUGGGGGCAAAGUGUCACUUUCCAGGAGACAUUUAACUAAAGCUUUUGCUCAGGAAUCAAAAAACAGUUUUAGUGUUGCUUAUUCUCGGUUCUUCCUUAGAAACCGUGUUCUGCAAUAAUACUCAGCAUCUAUGUAGCAUUUUUAAAACAUUAAACAAAUUACUCCUCAACCAACCCUUUGUCAGGAAGUCAGAUCAAAUAUAAUUUGUAGAUGGAAAAACUAAAAAGUGAGCAGGCUUAAUUAGAAUUCACAUGUAUACUCCACACUUUCCAUUAUCCCUCUCCUCAGACCACCAAGAGUUUCCAUAUGUCAGCAUGAUUUUAGUCCACAUCAUCUAGUAGCAUUACUUCACAAUAACCAUCAAGUUCAAACUUAAAAUGUUCCACCAACUACAUAUUUUGUAUUCCUUUAUUUAUUAAUUCAUUCCAAAAGUAUCUAUUGAGUGCAGCGAAACCUUUUCAGCAUUGUAGUUCAUUUCCAUCAGAUUAAAUAAAAUCUAGCUCAGGAAUCAGAAAACUAUAACUACUGGAUAAUAUUUUUAUGAAUAAAGUUACGCUGGAGCACAGUCACACCCAUUUGUUUAAGUACUAUCUAUGGCUGCUUUUGUACUAUAACAGCUAUGUUAUGACUGAAGCUUGAUUCAAUAGUUGUAAGAGAGACUGUAUGGCCCAUCAGCCCAAAAUAUUUAUCAUGUGACCCUUUACGGAAUAGAUAUCCCAACCCCUAUUCUAGUUCAGUGAUUUUUUUUUUUUUAUUGUUAUUUCCCCAAUACAAUUUUUUUUCUACUGUACAGCAUGGUUGACCCAGUUACACAUACAUGUACACAUUCUUUUUUCUCACAUUAUCAUGCUUAGCUCAGUGAUUUUUAAACACCUUGUCUAGCUGCACAAGGAUCUCCUGAGAACCUGGCUUAAGACAUAUCCUUCACCUAAGAGAUUCUGAUUCAGUAGGUCAGUGGGACGGGCACAUAGGAAUCUGUAUUUUUUAAAACCUCUUUCAGAUGAUUGGGUUGUCUAACUCCAUUUGUGGAAUGCUGUAACAGGAAAUACAUUUAAGGGUAUUCAAGAGACAGAAUUUUUUUAAACGGGAUGAGUGCCCAUGGGAUUAGAUAAAAGGAAAACUUCAUGAAGACAGUAAUUAUCUUCAAGUUUUGACCAAUUUGGGUUGACACAGGGAAAAUCCAGAACUUAUUCCAGGCAGUAGAGAAAACUGUAUGAGCCAAGAUAUGGAGAUGGGAAGGAACAAGGAUGGGGGAAGUGUACAGCCAAGAAACAGUCUAACCAAAGACAGGGUGUCACUGAGGAACCAGGGGAGAAAGGACUCCAUUUGUAUAGAGCUGGGGAUCAGAGAAAUAGAUGCCUUUGAAGGCAACUGAAGAACACUUUCAAUCUUAAUUAACGGUUCAAGAUCUGCAAGUUGCAACAGAGUUGAACCAGUCAAAUAGUGUAUCCCAAUCUACUUGAUAAUGGGGGAUAUUUGUAAUAAUGUGGCUAAGGGUUAGGGUACAGAAUUAACACUUCAGAGUUGAAUCUGCAACUUCAUAUCUUCAAAUUGUAAUAUGCAUCAGCAAUACUUGAAGGCUUGUUAAAACUCAGAAAGCUGGGUUUCACUUCCAGAAUUCUGAUUCAGUAGGUCUGAUGUAGGGCCUGAGAAUCUGUAUUUCUAGCAAAACUCCAGAUGAUGCUGAUGGUUUUGGUCCAGGGGCCACUUUUUGAGAACAACCACUGUAAAUAAAUGGGAUGAAUGGCUGGAAAAGAAGAAUCAUAUAGUGUGCUUUGUCCUUCCUGCUGAAGCCCACUCAGUUCGAUGGCUGAUAGACAAAGGCAAAUCCACAACCUCUCUUCAGGUUUGAACUUUUAGAGAAUGGAAACCAACUGAAAUCACAGGAUUAUAAAUAACAAUAGAACUAAUAACAGAAUAGGCCUUAGAUAUCAUAUAGUUCAACUUUUUAUUUUAUAGACUAGAUGGAAAAACUGAAAAUCAGAGAGGUUCUGUGGCUUAAUUGCCCCCAGUUCCUAAUGGCAGCUCAUGGGUUUUGUUCUUCAGCAGAAACUGCAUAAUAAAAUCGUGUAAUAUUUAAUAUUAAGAAAAUAAAAUAAGAUUUAGUCGUUGCCCUCAAGUUUGCUAAACGGCUUACAAAUGGCAAUAAUACAUGAAUUCUGAUCAUAGUAACUGUACCAAAAACAAAAUCUGAAUUGAAGGAAAACCUGUAUUUGCAGAAGCAGACAAACAAUAAUAAUAAUAUUCAAGAUUAGAAAUCAUUUGGGGUCUUGACUAAGUAUUGCAAAACUUACUGUUAUAUUACAUAGAGCCUUUAAAUGGCAAACCAUCACAUUACUAAUACUGGCUAUAUUUAGUUCUUGACUGUUUCGCUGAAUUUUAAGUGCAAGAAAAUUGAAGCUUGAUUCAGGUUCAAGUCCUAGUCUCUGAUUAUGGGUAAAUGACAAUUCAGGUACCAGCUGCAAUUGAUUGAAAGUGUCAUAUGAGCAGAGAUGCUUUUAGCUGCCUCUGGGCUCCCAGGACACUUAGAAAUAAUUCAGAUAUGGUUUCUUAUCAGCUGGGUAUUAGCAGCCUGUAAAUAUGUAUCCCCAUUCAGCAUAAUGGGUUAUGACAGAAUAAAAGCCACCUGGAAAACAUUUAAACAUCCUUCUUCAAGAGGUUGUUUAGCUACUUUUUCUCCCAAGGGACAACCAAUCAACAAUACAUUAUUUCAGUUUGUUAACAUGUAGAAUGUGUCAGGCUUUUGUUUUGUUUCAUUUUCUGUUUGCUUUCAUUUGUUUGCUCUGUGCUCUUCAUUUGGCUUUCAAAUGUAGAGUAAAAAAGGAUCAGUUUCCUUGUCUAGCCUCAUGUCAGCUGUAGAUAAAAAUGAGUUAAUCUUUAAUGAAACAGAAAGUAAGUUAUAUAAAGGCAAUUUCCUUCCAGGUUUUAUGUGAUGGCUCUUGUUCAUUUUAUUGUGUUCACCAACCAAAUGGUUAUUUAUUCAUAUAUCCACCCAGCAUAUAUGGAACACUGAUACAUGGAAGGCAUUUUGACAGACUUAGAUCCUCCCCACCCUGCCACCUUGUAAUUAUUGGAAAAGGAGGAGGAGUAAGUAAAUACCACUCCCAUAACAAGCACAGUUUGGGUCCUAAUUUCUUUUUUGUUCUGUCUUGGUAUAGUUCCUGUACUCUGGGCUGGUUAAUCAUUUACAAAUAGUAUUAGUCUUCCACCAUUUUCAAAGUGUUAAAGGAUAUAAUAAUUUCUGAUAUAAUAAUUUCUUUGCUUGAAAAUUUUAGGGGAGUUCCCAUUGUGGCACAGCAGAAAUGAAUGCAACCGCUAUCCUUGCAGAUGUGGGUUUGAUCCCUGGGGGUUGGGGAUCCAGCAUUGCCAUGAGCUAUGGUGUAGGUCGCAUAUGCAAGUCAGAUCUGGCAUUGCUGUGGCUGUGGCAUAGGCUGGCAGCAGUGGCUGAUUCAACCCCUAGCCUGGGAACUUCCAGAUGCCAUGGGUGUAGGCCUAAAAAAAAGGAAAGAAAGAAAGAAAAAGAAAACUUCAGGUAUUAUGAAAUAUUCUAUAGUUUAAAAGUUAAAUACAAUUUUCUUCAGCCUGGUAUUUUUGAGGUGUUCUCUUUUUCUGCUGUUUCUUUCCAAAUUUGUUUAACCUUGAAAAAACCAGCCUUCACAUCAGGCCCAUCAAUGCAGUAACUCCUAAGCAUGUGUCAGAGAUACGUUUGUUACUGCCAGCUCUUUCUCUCUCUCUCUCUUUUUUUUUUUUUUUUUUUUUUUUUUGCCAUGCAGAAGUCCUGGGCC